GUUUAAAUAAUAUGAGGCAGGCAUUACCUGUGAAUGGGGACGAAGUUUGUUUAAAUUAAUUUUUGUAACUUAAAUAUUUGUUAAAAAAAAGAAACGGAAAUACCGUAACGUUUCCGAUUUUGGUUCUGUUGUUAGGGAUUUUACUUGUGACGUUAUUUAAGUUAUGACGUCAUGUUCAAUGUAAACAAAGAAACGCAAUGCAUCAGGUAACGUUUAUUCAUACCAAAGACAAAGAAUAAUUAAAAAUGAAAU
rnacentral:lncRNA from 1 species